UCUGGGCAGGGAGGAGCAGGAACAGGGCAGGGAGGAGUGGAAAAGCUGCAGAAACUUCCAGGGAGCUCGGGAUCCACACCGUGGCUCCCUGGAUUCCUGCUCUGAUCCCAAAAAUCCCCCUCGCCAGGACUGCAAUCGACCGGGACCAUUCAACCCCCAAGGCUGGAUUUUGGGCCCUUCACCUAUGUCCUGCACCACUGGGAGCUGCUUGGUUUGCCCAGCUCCAGCCGGGAGCGAUACCCAGGGAAAGGGGAAUUCUGCUUCACCCCAAAUCCAACCAAACCAGAUUAGAAGAGGGGAAGGAGAUCCCAAACUCACUGAUCAUGAGCAGACAGGUCUCAUCGUUGAACGAGGACCAGUUGUUGUUGACCAGAGCCUGUUUCAGCUCCUUGACGGAGAUGAACCCGCUGCGAUCCGUAUCCACCGUCUGGAACCAGGAGAACGCCUCGGGAUCCACCCCUGGGGGGGCAUUCCCUGCGUGGGGAGAGGCCAUCGGAGCUGUCACCUUCCCCUCGGACAGGCCACGGGCUGAGCUGGCCCCGCGGGUGGCUCCCAGGGCCGGGCAGAGCUUCUCCUCCCACGGGUUUUUAGCCCGGUAAAUCCCGGGAGAGAGGGGCGGGAGGGGCUGGGAUGGGCACGGAGCGGCUGGAGCCGGGAAUGGGCUGGAAACCAGAGCCUGGUGGAGCUCUGGGCUGGAGAGAGAGCCACGGUGCUGCCCCACAAAGCCGGCAGCAAAGGGAGACGCGUGUGGGGUGAAAGUUUUAGAGCUGCCUGGCACUUCCUCUUCCUCCGCUUUCUUUUUCCUCCUCCUCUUUCUCCUUUCCCUCCUCCUCUUCCUUCUCCUCCUCCUCCUCCAGGAUUUCAAAAUAAUAAACCGGGACAUCCAAUUUCA